rnacentral:rRNA from 1 species
GUGAAAUUCCGUCGGAAUCUGGGAGGACCAUCUCCUAAGGCUAAAUACUCUCUAGUGACCGAUAGUGAACCAGUACCGUGAGGGAAAGGUGAAAAGCACCCCGGAAGGGGAGUGAAAUAGAACCUGAAACCGUGUGCUUACAAGUAGUCAGAGCCCGUUAAUGGGUGAUGGCGUGCCUUUUGUAGAAUGAACCGGCGAGUUACGAUUUGAUGCAAGGUUAAGCAGUAAAUGUGGAGCCGUAGCGAAAGCGAGUCUGAAUAGGGCGUUUAGUAUUUGGUCGUAGACCCGAAACCAGGUGAUCUACCCUUGGUCAGGUUGAAGUUCAGGUAACACUGAAUGGAGGACCGAACCGACUUACGUUGAAAAGUGAGCGGAUGAACUGAGGGUAGCGGAGAAAUUCCAAUCGAACCUGGAGAUAGCUGGUUCUCUCCGAAAUAGCUUUAGGGCUAGCCUCAAGUGAUGAUUAUUGGAGGUAGAGCACUGUUUGGACGAGGGGCCCCUCUCGGGUUACCGAAUUCAGACAAACUCCGAAUGCCAAUUAAUUUAACUUGGGAGUCAGAACAUGGGUGAUAAGGUCCAUGUUCGAAAGGGAAACAGCCCAGACCACCAGCUAA